UUGUGGUCGUGGACCUCGGCGCUGGGCUCCGGGCCUGGCUCGUGUCCGUCCGCCGCCCUCCAACCCCCGCCCGUGCAGGAUGUGGUGGGCGCGCGGCGGGGGGCACGGGGCAGAGAGGAGAGGGCGGCAGGAAGAAGGGAGAGAAAACCCCCAAGUUCCGGAAGGCCGGGAGGGAGGCAGGGCACGGGCUGCAAACCGCGGCUAUUUGCAGCGUCGCCCUCCGGCUGCGGUCAGGCUGGCGCUGGCAGUGCUGGCGGCCGAGCCCGUCGCCCCGCCCGGUGCCCUCGGCCACCCGGGCACGGCCCGGGCCGCGGCGGCCUGCUUGGCUCAGUCCCUGAGGCCCCGGCGGCCAGCGCAGCCAGAGGAGGGACGAAGCCCACGGGGGCAGGGGCGCGAUCCCCGGUGUGGGCUGGUUUGGGUUCGGGGUGCGAUUCUCAGUGGGCAGGGUCGGUACAGGCGGAUUGCGCGCCCCGCACCCCAGGACCCCAAUCCUCCCGCCGUGAGCCGGGCCGAGGGACGGGGCGGGUCCGCGUGCGAACCUCGGGGGGCUGCUCCGGGCUGAGUCGGACCGGAGCCGGGGGCGGCGCGGGAGGCAGGCGGCGACCGCGGCGAGGCUGCCUGGGCGCCGGGUGGGCCAGAGGAUUGCUAAAAGCUGCGGGUUGGCUAAGGUUGCAGAGCCCAGAAGAGAAAGGGCGCGGGAGGGAGGGAUUAAAAAAAGAAAAGGAAAGCCGAGGGAGAAGAGGCAAACACGAGGUGCGGGCGGCCGGGAAGCCGGUUGUUCCGAGCGCCGCCUCUGUCCGCAGCAGGCGGGACCGUCGGCCGCAGCUUACAGGCGGGCCCUGGGACCUGGGUCUGCCUCCCGGCCGCACGCUUCCACCUGGACCGAGGACCGCGACACAACGAGGGGUCGCGGCAGCCUCGUGGGGGACUGGCGGGGAGCGACGGCCGCCGGUCCUGGCUUCAGCCUCUCCGCGCCCCUGCAGCGCCCCCACGUGGGAGCACCCGACCGCCUCCGCGCCCCUCCCGGAACGCCAGCCGGCGGGACCUGGGCGGGGCGGAGCAGGUCCCGGCCUUGAAGGCCGGUCCCUGGGUGCGGGAACAGGAGGUAACGCCCGGGGUGGGGGUCGGGGGCUGGCACCGCAGGCCUUCCCGGGGCGCGCGGGAGGAUGGCGGGUCGAGGUAGCCAGGAGCGCCUGCCCGGGACAGCCGGCUGCACCCUGUGCUUGCAACGCUGUAGCUCUCCCCACUCAUUCGCCGAAUUACAGAGCACCUUAG
rnacentral:lncRNA from 1 species